rnacentral:lncRNA from 1 species
CACACCUUGAGCCCGGCCUGCCGGGCUGUGUCUGCAGGUCGCUCCUGCGCCCCGGCCGGGGUCGCCCAAGGCGGAGGUGUUCUAGAAGCUUCUCUGUGGAUUGGCUCUUGGUCUUCAAAGCAGCCCUAAGAGCCAGCACCCUCUCUGCUAAGAUGAGCCCAGCGGACCCUCGAAAUGGGCGCGGAACACCCGAACAGAGUCUGCAUCCAGUGUGUCCGGAGUCCACGGAAGAGGCUCCCCGUCCUGGUCCCCAGGGAGGUGACCGCGGCGGGACGCUUCCUCGCACCCCCGGGACGGCUGUACAAACAAGAGCCCCAGGGGGAGAACAGUGUUGGUGAGGAGGAGGUGAAACCGGAAGCUCAGGUGCUGCUGGUAAGGGCACAUCAGGGGGCGCAGCCACGGUGGAAGGUGCCCUGGCAGCUCCUGGGAACGUUCAGCCGUCACCCCCGGCAAGUCACUCCUCGCUCGGGCCGCAGCUCAGACAAGGACCCGAGCCAGCCAGAGGGGGAAAGGGCGAGCCGGCUGCCGAUGGGGACAGACCCGUCCCGAAGGGCUUCAUCCACACCGGCCACACCAGGGGCGAACCUAGGAGGCCUGGUGCUGAGUGAUGACACGGACGUGGAAGGCCGCGUGCUGUGUGUCCCAUGCCACCCGCUCCCGAGGCAGGCGGGGCCACACAGAUGGAGCAGCGGUUGCCGGGGGUGGGGUGGGGUCGGGGGCUGACCACUGGAUGGGAACCCUUUCGGGGAAGGAAAACCUUCUGGAACCAGAAGGGGGCUUGCUAAAUGCUGCGGAAGCAUUCACGUGAAAACAGUUGAUUUUGGAGAUCCCGUUGGCUCGGCAGGUUAAGGAUCUGGCAUUGUCUCUGCCGUGGCUCAGGUCGCUUGCUGUGGCCCCGGUUUGAUGCCAGACCUGGCAACUUCCACAUGCUGUGUGUCCAGCCAAAAAAUAAAAUAAAACAGCUAACUUUAUGUUA